GAUGAACGCUGGCGGCGUGCCUAAUACAUGCAAGUCGAGCGAACGGACGAUAAGCUUGCUUUUCUGAUGUUAGCGGCGGACGGGUGAGUAACACGUGGAUAACCUACCUAUAAGACUGGGAUAACUUCGGGAAACCGGAGCUAAUACCGGAUAAUAUUUUGAACCGCAUGGUUCAAAAGUGAAAGACGGUCUUGCUGUCACUUAUAGAUGGAUCCGCGCUGCAUUAGCUAGUUGGUAAGGUAACGGCUUACCAAGGCAACGAUGCAUAGCCGACCUGGGAGGGUGGUCGGCCACACUGGAAGUGAGACACGGUCCAGACUCCUGAGGGAGGCAGCAGUAGGGAAUCUUCCGCAAUGGGGGAAAGCCUGACGGAGCAACGCCGCGUGAGUGAUGAAGGUCUUCGGAUCGUAAAACUCUGUUAUUAGGGAAGAACAGAUGUGUAAGUAACUGUGCACAGCUUGACGGUACCUAAUCAGAAAGCCACGGCUAACUACGUG
rnacentral:rRNA from 1 species